rnacentral:rRNA from 1 species
UUUACAGGCUUAACACAUGCAAGUCGAGGGGCAGCAUGGUCUUAGCUUGCUAAGGCCGAUGGCGACCGGCGCACGGGUGAGUAACACGUAUCCAACCUGCCGUCUACUCUUGGACAGCCUUCUGAAAGGAAGAUUAAUACAAGAUGGCAUCAUGAGUCCGCAUGUUCACAUGAUUAAAGGUAUUCCGGUAGACGAUGGGGAUGCGUUCCAUUAGAUAGUAGGCGGGGUAACGGCCCACCUAGUCUUCGAUGGAUAGGGGUUCUGAGAGGAAGGUCCCCCACAUUGGAACUGAGACACGGUCCAAACUCCUACGGGAGGCAGCAGUGAGGAAUAUUGGUCAAUGGGCGAGAGCCUGAACCAGCCAAGUAGCGUGAAGGAUGACUGCCCUAUGGGUUGUAAACUUCUUUUAUAAAGGAAUAAAGUCGGGUAUGGAUACCCGUUUGCAUGUACUUUAUGAAUAAGGAUCGGCUAACUCCGUGCCAGCAGCCGCGGUAAUACGGAGGAUCCGAGCGUUAUCCGGAUUUAUUGGGUUUAAAGGGAGCGUAGAUGGAUGUUUAAGUCAGUUGUGAAAGUUUGCGGCUCAACCGUAAAAUUGCAGUUGAUACUGGAUAUCUUGAGUGCAGUUGAGGCAGGCGGAAUUCGUGGUGUAGCGGUGAAAUGCUUAGAUAUCACGAAGAACUCCGAUUGCGAAGGCAGCCUGCUAAGCUGCAACUGACAUUGAGGCUCGAAAGUGUGGGUAUCAAACAGGAUUAGAUACCCUGGUAGUCCACACGGUAAACGAUGAAUACUCGCUGUUUGCGAUAUACUGCAAGCGGCCAAGCGAAAGCGUUAAGUAUUCCACCUGGGGAGUACGCCGGCAACGGUGAAACUCAAAGGAAUUGACGGGGGCCCGCACAAGCGGAGGAACAUGUGGUUUAAUUCGAUGAUACGCGAGGAACCUUACCCGGGCUUAAAUUGCAGAUGAAUUACGGUGAAAGCCGUAAGCCGCAAGGCAUCUGUGAAGGUGCUGCAUGGUUGUCGUCAGCUCGUGCCGUGAGGUGUCGGCUUAAGUGCCAUAACGAGCGCAACCCUUGUUGUCAGUUACUAACAGGUUCCGCUGAGGACUCUGACAAGACUGCCAUCGUAAGAUGUGAGGAAGGUGGGGAUGACGUCAAAUCAGCACGGCCCUUACGUCCGGGGCUACACACGUGUUACAAUGGGGGGUACAGAGGGCCGCUACCACGCGAGUGGAUGCCAAUCCCCAAAACCUCUCUCAGUUCAGACUGGAGUCUGCAACCCGACUCCACGAAGCUGGAUUCGCUAGUAAUCGCGCAUCAGCCACGGCGCGGUGAAUACGUUCCCGGGCCUUGUACACACCGCCCGUCAAGCCAUGGGAGCCGGGGGUACCUGAAGUGCGUAACCGCGAGGAGCGCCCUAGGGUAAAACUGGUGAUUGGGGCUAA